rnacentral:tRNA from 1 species
GGUUGUGGCUUAGUGGUAGAGCACUUGUCACACAUGUGUGAGGCACUGGGUUCGAUUCUCAGCACCA